GCUCGCGUGGACGAAUUGGUAGAGUCACCGCCUCUUCCGGGGCGGGGAAAACAUUGCGUGCAGGUUCGAGCCCUGUCGCGAGCACC
rnacentral:tRNA from 1 species